rnacentral:rRNA from 1 species
UACGAAGGGGGCUAGCGUUGUUCGGAAUUACUGGGCGUAAAGCGCGCGCAGGCGGUCUUCCAAGUCAGUGGUGAAAGCCCGGAGCUCAACUCCGGAACUGCCAUUGAAACUGUAAGACUUGAGGAUGAGAGAGGUGAGUGGAAUUCCCAGUGUAGAGGUGAAAUUCGUAGAUAUUGGGAAGGAAACACCGGUGGCGAAGGCGGCUCACUGGCUCGUAUCUGACGCUCAGGCGCGACAGCGUGGGGGAUCAAACAGG